UACGAAGGGGGCUAGCGUUGUUCGGAAUUACUGGGCGUAAAGCGCACGUAGGCGGCUUUGUAAGUUAGAGGUGAAAGCCCGGGGCUCAACUCCGGAAUUGCCUUUAAGACUGCAUCGCUAGAAUUGUGGAGAGGUAAGUGGAAUUCCGAGUGUAGAGGUGAAAUUCGUAGAUAUUCGGAAGAACACCAGUGGCGAAGGCGGCUUACUGGACCCAUAUUGACGCUGAGGUGCGAAAGCGUGGGGAGCAAACAGG
rnacentral:rRNA from 1 species